GACGAACGCUGGCGGCGUGCCUAAUACAUGCAAGUAGAACGCUGAAGGAGGAGCUUGCUUCUCCGGAUGAGUUGCGAACGGGUGAGUAACGCGUAGGUAACCUGCCUGGUAGCGGGGGAUAACUAUUGGAAACGAUAGCUAAUACCGCAUAACAGUAGAUGUUGCAUGACAUUUGCUUAAAAGGUGCAAUUGCAUCACUACCAGAUGGACCUGCGUUGUAUUAGCUAGUUGGUGAGGUAACGGCUCACCAAGGCGACGAUACAUAGCCGACCUGAGAGGGGGAGCGGCCACACUGGGACUGAGACACGGCCCAGACUCCUACGGGAGGCAGCAGUAGGGAAUCUUCGGCAAUGGACGGAAGUCUGACCGAGCAACGCCGCGUGAGUGAAGAAGGUUUUCGGAUCGUAAAGCUCGGUUGUAAGAGAAGAACGAGUGUGAGAGUGGAAAGUUCACACUGUGACGGUAUCUUACCAGAAAGGGACGGCUAACUACGUG
rnacentral:rRNA from 1 species